GUUAGGAAUAUUGGACAAUGGGCGCAAGCCUGAUCCAGCCAUGCCGCGUGAGUGAUGAAGGCCUUCGGGUUGUAAAGCUCUUUAGUCCACGAAUAUAAUGACUGUAGUGGAAGAAUAAGCCCCGGCUAACUUCGUGCCAGCAGCCGCGGUAAUACGAAGGGGGCGAGCGUUAUUCGGAAUCACUGGGCGUAAAGCGUGCGUAGGCUGUUUUGUAGGUCAGAAGUGAAAGCCCAGGGCUUAACCCUGGAAUUGCUUUUGAAACUACAAGACUCGAAUUCGGGAGAGGAUAGCGGAAUUGUCAGUGUAGCAGUGAAAUGCGUAGAUAUUGACAGGAACACCAGUGGCGCAAGCGGCUAUCUGGACCGAUAUUGACGCUGAGGCACGAAAGCGUGGGGAGCAAACAGGAUUAGAAACCCGUGUAGUCC
rnacentral:rRNA from 1 species